rnacentral:rRNA from 1 species
CUAUCAUGCAGUCGAGCGACAGACGAGGAGCUUGCUCCUCUGACGUUAGCGGCGGACGGGUGAGUAACACGUGGAUAACCUACCUAUAAGACUGGGAUAACUUCGGGAAACCGGAGCUAAUACCGGAUAAUAUAUUGAACCGCAUGGUUCAAUAGUGAAAGACGGUUUUGCUGUCACUUAUAGAUGGAUCCGCGCCGCAUUAGCUAGUUGGUAAGGUAACGGCUUACCAAGGCAACGAUGCGUAGCCGACCUGAGAGGGUGAUCGGCCACACUGGAACUGAGACACGGUCCAGACUCCUACGGGAGGCAGCAGUAGGGAAUCUUCCGCAAUGGGCGAAAGCCUGACGGAGCAACGCCGCGUGAGUGAUGAAGGUCUUCGGAUCGUAAAACUCUGUUAUUAGGGAAGAACAAAUGUGUAAGUAACUAUGCACGUCUUGACGGUACCUAAUCAGAAAGCCACGGCUAACUACGUGCCAGCAGCCGCGGUAAUACGUAGGUGGCAAGCGUUAUCCGGAAUUAUUGGGCGUAAAGCGCGCGUAGGUGGUUUUUUAAGUCUGAUGUGAAAGCCCACGGCUCAACCGUGGAGGGUCAUUGGAAACUGGAAAACUUGAGUGCAGAAGAGGAAAGUGGAAUUCCAUGUGUAGCGGUGAAAUGCGCAGAGAUAUGGAGGAACACCAGUGGCGAAGGCGACUUUCUGGUCUGUAACUGACGCUGAUGUGCGAAAGCGUGGGGAUCAAACAGGAUUAGAUACCCUGGUAGUCCACGCCGUAAACGAUGAGUGCUAAGUGUUAGGGGGUUUCCGCCCCUUAGUGCUGCAGCUAACGCAUUAAGCACUCCGCCUGGGGAGUACGACCGCAAGGUUGAAACUCAAAGGAAUUGACGGGGACCCGCACAAGCGGUGGAGCAUGUGGUUUAAUUCGAAGCAACGCGAAGAACCUUACCAAAUCUUGACAUCCUCUGACCCCUCUAGAGAUAGAGUUUUCCCCUUCGGGGGACAGAGUGACAGGUGGUGCAUGGUUGUCGUCAGCUCGUGUCGUGAGAUGUUGGGUUAAGUCCCGCAACGAGCGCAACCCUUAAGCUUAGUUGCCAUCAUUAAGUUGGGCACUCUAAGUUGACUGCCGGUGACAAACCGGAGGAAGGGGGGGAUGACGUCAAAUCAU